UUGAGGGAAAGCACGUGAAACCGUUCAGGGGUAAACCUGAGAAACCCGAAAGGUCGAAAGGGGAAAUUCAUUCGCGUUUCGAUCGCCGCGAUGAGCCGUCGCGCGACUGAGGGCGUUCGCGCCCGAAGCGCCUUCGGUUUUUCGAACGCGCGUCGAACGCGUGCACUUUUCCCCUAGUAGGACGUCGCGAUCCGUUGGGCGUCGACCUAAGGCCCGCGGUGGAGCCCGAGAGUCGCGGUUCGCGCCGCUUCAUUCGGACCCGCGGUGUUUCCCGGUCGGCACGCUCGACGGUAUACAGAUGGCGCGGGGCCGCUACUCACUCAGUUUAAGCGUCCGGCCCGUCGCAAGCGCGCCGGCGCGUCGAAGGAUCGGACUUGGUGCCGAUCCCGACCCCCGGUGACUGUUGGCGGCGGUCCGCUCGGACAGACCUCGUUUCGAAACGCCGAUCUGCGAGGCUAUAAAAAAUGGGUACUUUCAGGACCCGUCUUGAAACACGGACCAAGGAGUCUAGCACGUGCGCGAGUCAUUGGGACUUGACUAAACCUAAAGGCGCAAUGAAAGUAAAGGCCCGCCUCGCGCGGGCCGAGGGAGGAUGGGCGGUUCGCCGUUAAAAGUGGCCGCCCCGCACUCCCGGGGCGUCUCGUUCUCAUCGCG
rnacentral:rRNA from 1 species